rnacentral:rRNA from 1 species
UGGCGGACGGGUGAGUAAUGUCUGGGAAACUGCCCGAUGGAGGGGGAUAACUACUGGAAACGGUAGUUAAUACCGCAUAACGUCGCAAGACCAAAGAGGGGGACCUUCGGGCCUCUUGCCAUCGGAUGUGCCCAGAUGGGAUUAGCUAGUAGGUGGGGUAACGGCUCACCUAGGCGACGAUCCCUAGCUGGUCUGAGAGGAUGACCAGCCACACUGGAACUGAGACACGGUCCAG